CUUGUCAGCUUAUGUUCAGAGAUUGCGAUUAUCUUUUACAUGUUGCUGGCUGGGCAGCAUAACAUAAACUUCAAGUUUCUGCAAAGAUUAUCUUAUAUAUGACAAGUCUUCAUAUAUUAAGGUUUUUCUAAUGAUGAUAAUAAGGCAAGCAAGAUGUGAUUGACUCUGUAAGACUUGUCGUAUUAUCUUCUACAUAUUGCUGGCUGGGCAGCAUUACAUAAACUUCAAGUUUCUGGAAAGAUCUGCCUUCAUUAAGGCUUUUCUAAUGAUGUCCUGUGAAGGAUAAAUUCAUUGUUCUGCUUUAAAACUCAAUGAUCUGCUUAGUGAUGGGGAUAAAUUGUCUUUUAUAAGACUAGUCUAAUGAUGUCCGAUUGGGAAACUCAGUUGUAAGGAUGGGGACAGCAGAUGAAAACACUCAAAGAUAUACAUGUCCCUAAGUAACGCUUGUCACAUUAUGUUCAUAGAUUGGAUGAUUGAAUCUCUGCAAUUAUCUUCUAUAUAUUGCUGGCUGGGCAGCAUAAUAUUAAGUUCAACUUUCUGCAAAGAUCUGUCUUUCUUAAGACUUUUCUAAUGAUAUAUUCAGUUUCUGCUUUAAACUCAAUGAUCUGCUUAUUGAUGGAGAUAUGUUGUCUUUUAGAAGACUUGGCUAAUGAGAAAUUCAGGUGUCCCUAUGUUGCCUAACUAAGUAAGACAAACAAGGUGUGAUUGAAACAGAGAUAUAUACGUCCCUGAGUAAAGCUUGCACAUUAUGUUCAUAGGUUGGAUAGUUGAAUCUCUGCAAUUAUCUUAUAUAUAUUGCUGGCUGGGCAGCAUAAUAUUAACUUCAACUUUCUGCAAAGAUCUGUCUUUCUUAAGACUUUUCUAAUGAUAAAUUCAGUUUCUGCUUUAAAACUCAAUGAUCUGCCUAUUGAUGGGGAUAAAUUGUCUUUUAUAAGACUUUUCUAGUGAUCUCCGAUUGGGAAAAUAAGUUGUAUGGAUGGGGGCAGCACAUGAAACUCUCAGUAAUCUGCAAAUUGAUGGAAGAAAAAGCAGUAUAAACUUCAGAUUCUGCAUGCCUUAAUUAAGGCACAUCCUUGUGCAACGCUUGAUCGGUCGAGGUUCGGUGAAGGCAGUAAAGAGAAAGAGAGGGAGAUGAAAGAAAGAACAUAUAUAAUCUGCAAUUUGAUGGAAGAAAAAGCAAUAUAAACUUCAGAUUCUGCAUGCCUUUAUUAAGCUCUUCUUGUUAGUGAAGGCACAUUAUUGUGCAACGCUUGAUGGGUCUAGGUUCGGGGAAGGCACUAAAGAGAAAGAGAGGGAGAUGAGAGAAAGAACAUAUAUAAUCUGCAAAUUGAUGGAAGAAAAAGCAGUCUAAACUGCAGAUUUUGCUUGCCUUUAUUAAGGCACAUUAUUGUGCAACGCUUGAUGGGUCUAGGUUCGGGGAAGGCACUAAAGAGAAAGAGAGGGAGAUGAGAGAAAGAACAUAUAUAAUCUGCAAAUUGAUGGAAGAAAAAGCAGUAUAAACUUCAGAUUCUGCAUGCCUUUAUUAAAGGUUUGUCUAAUCAUGUCCCGAGAAUCAUAAGUUCAGAACUUUUAAUCCUCUGAGCCUAGCUCUUGAAGCUCUUCUUGUUAGCGAAGGCACAUCAUUGUGCAACGCUUGAUGGGUCGAGGUCGGGCAAGGCACUAAAGGGAAAGAGAGAGUGUGAUGAGAGAAAGAACAUAUAUGAUCGUCUGAAUUUAGACAAUACGUUUAAAAUAUUCAGAUAUUUGUAUACUACAAGAAUCUGAUUUCUUCUAACUCAAUGUUAAGAGUUUUGCGUUGUUCUAAUGGUAAGUUUUUUUGUUAUGUACAUCUCUUCGCCAUUAAAGAAUGAAUCAAUCUGAUUUCUCUCAUUGUGUUCUAACCACAUCUUUUAGUGACUGAUUCUUAAUAGGGAUAUACAGAAAAUCAGGUUUGCGGAUUAUAUAAUUUCCACUUUGAUCAGAAGAGAACUCGAGUGUGUACAAUGAUUUGUCUCAGGAGAAUUAAGGGAUUUUGGUGACUUCUAGUGCACAACAGAAUUGGCUAAACUAGUAGGGCAUUUUUGGUGGCAGUCAUAUGACCAUGAAUGAUUUUUCAAGAAUGAAUUCAACAGAUUUGUCUAAGGUACAUGUUCUUUCUCUAUGCUUUCAAUAUCAUAGUGUUUUUGCUUGCGUAUUAAUUCUUGUGUUAGGCAAUAUUGUCUGAUUCUUAAUUCCAGGAAAUUCAGCCAAUUUUGAUGAGGCACCAGAGUUAUCAUCUCCCUAAGUCCACACGACGCUAAGAGACUAGUGACUUUUGUCAUCCAUUUGCAAGACCUCUGAAACCAAAGGUAUUGCCUAUAAACAAUUUCUUCUUAAGAUUUUUUUCUAACCUUUACAUAACUGUGAUUCUUUUAUCAGAGGCAUGAUAGGAGAUUCUCAAAAGCAAAUGUUUGGUCUUUCUUCUCUUUAUAAGACUAAUAAAACAUAAACGCAUAUACACGAAAAUCAUAUACUAAACGAAAACAUAAACGCACAUACACGAAACCCUUCUCUUUAUAAGACUAAUAAAACAUAAACGCACAUAAACAAAAAUCAUACACUAAACAAAAACAUAAACGUACUUACCCCUUCGCUUUAUAAAACUAAUAAAACAUAAACAAACAUUCACGAAACCCUUCUCUUUAUAAGACUAAUAAAACAUAAACGCACAUACACGAAAAUUAUACACUAAACGAAAACAUAAACGCACUUACACGAAAUCCUUCUCUUUAUAAAACUAAUAAAACAUAAACAAACAUUCACGAAACCCUUCUCUUUAUAAGGCUAAUAAAACAUAAACGCACAUACACGAAAAUCAUACACUAAACGAAAACAUAAACGCACAUACACAAAACCCUUCUCUUUAUAAUACUAAUAAAACAUAAACGCACAUACACGAAAAUCAUACACUAAACGAAAACAUAAACGCACAUACACGAAGGUCAUACACUAAAUGGAAACAUAAACGCAUAUUCGCGAAGGCCAUACACUAAAUGAAAACAUAAACGCAUAUACACGAAGGCCAUACUUUAAACAAAAACAUAAACGCAUAUACGCGAAAGUCAUACACUAAACGAAAACAUAAACGCAUAUACACGAAGGCAUACACUAAACGAAAACAUAAACGCACUUACACGAAAUCCUUCUCUUUAUAAAACUAAUAAAACAUAAACAAACAUUCACGAAACCCUUCUCUUUAUAAGGCUAAUAAAACAUAAACGCACAUACACGAAAAUCAUACACUAAACGAAAACAUAAACGCACAUACACAAAA